rnacentral:ncRNA from 1 species
GGGCGAUAAAGGCAAACCCGGCGCAAGCCGGGGGCGCAAAGCCCAGAGACCCGCGUCUGCGGGUUGGUUAGGCUACCGAA